rnacentral:rRNA from 1 species
AUUGAACGCUGGCGGCAGGCCUAACACAUGCAAGUCGAGCGGAUGAAGGGAGCUUGCUCCUGGAUUCAGCGGCGGACGGGCGAGUAAUGCCUAGGAAUCUGCCUGGUAGUGGGGGAUAACGUCCGGAAACGGGCGCUAAUACCGCAUACGUCCUGAGGGAGAAAGUGGGGGAUCUUCGGACCUCACGCUAUGAGAUGAGCCUAGGUCGGAUUAGCUAGGUGGUGGGUUAAAGGCCUACCAUGGCGACGAUCCGUAACUGGUCUGAGAGGAUGAUCAGUCACCCUGGAUCUGAGACACGGCCGAGACUCCUACGGUGGGCCGCAGUGGGGAAUAUUGGACAAUGGACGAAAGCCUGAUCCAGCCAUGCCGCGUGUGUGAAGAAGGUCUUCUGAUUGUAAAGCACUGUAAGUUGUGAGGAAGGGCAGUAAGUUAAUACCUUGCUGUUUUGACGUUACCAACAGAAUAAGCACCGGCUAACUUCGUG